rnacentral:rRNA from 1 species
CGAAGGGUGCAAGCGUUACUCGGAAUUACUGGGCGUAAAGCGUGCGUAGGUGGUUCGUUAAGUCUGAUGUGAAAGCCCUGGGCUCAACCUGGGAAUUGCAUUGGAUACUGGCGAGCUAGAGUGCGGUAGAGGGUAGUGGAAUUCCCGGUGUAGCAGUGAAAUGCGUAGAGAUCGGGAGGAACAUCUGUGGCGAAGGCGACUGCCUGGACCAGCACUGACACUGAGGCACGAAAGCGUGGGAGCAAACAGGAUU